CCUACGGGAGGCAGCAGUGGGGGAUAUUGCACAAUGGGGGAAACCCUGAUGCAGCGACGCCGCGUGGGCGAAGAAGUAUUUCGGUAUGUAAAGCCCUAUCAGCAGGGAAGAAAAAAUGACGUUACCUGAGUAAGAAGCACCGGCUAAAUACGUGCCAGCAGCCGCGGUAAUACGUAUGGUGCAAGCGUUAUCCGGAUUUACUGGGUGGAAAGGGAGCGCAGGCGGCACGGCAAGCCUGAUGUGAAAGCCCGCGGCCCAACCGCGGGACUGCAUUGGGAACUACCGGGCUGGAGUGCAGGAGAGGUAGGCGGAAUUCCUAGUGUAGCGGUGAAAUGCGUAGAUAUUAGGAGGAACACCAGUGGCGAAGGCGGCCUACUGGACGGUGACUGACGCUGAGGCUCGAAAGCGUGGGGAGCAAACAGGAUUAGAUACCCGUGUAGUC
rnacentral:rRNA from 1 species